rnacentral:rRNA from 1 species
GACGAAGGGGGCUAGCGUUGUUCGGAAUUACUGGGCGUAAAGCGAGUGUAGGUGGUUGUCCAAGUUGGAUGUGAAAGCCUUGAGCUCAACUCAAGAAAUGCAUUCAGGACUGGAUGGCUAGAGGACCGGAGAGGAUAGUGGAAUUCCCAGUGUAGUGGUGAAAUACGUAGAGAUUGGGAAGAACACCAGUGGCGAAGGCGGCUAUCUGGACGGUUUCUGACACUAAGACUCGAAAGCGUGGGGAGCAAACAGGAUUAGAUACCCUGGUAGUCCACGCCGUAAACGAUGGGUGCUAGACGUUGGCGAGCUUGCUCGUCAGUGUCGCAGCUAACGCGUUAAGCACCCCGCCUGGGGAGUACGGCCGCAAGGUUG